rnacentral:rRNA from 1 species
UACGGAAGGGGCAAGCGUUGUUCGGAAUCAUUGGGCGUAAAGAGCGUGUAGGCGGCCCGGUAAGUCCGCUGUGAAAGUCGGGGGCUCAACCCUCGAAUGCCGGUGGAUACUGUCGGGCUAGAGUGCGGAAGAGGCGAGUGGAAUUCCUGGUGUAGCGGUGAAAUGCGCAGAUAUCAGGAGGAACACCGAUUGCGAAGGCAGCUCGCUGGGACGUUACUGACGCUGAGACGCGAAAGCGUGGGGAGCAAACAGG